GAUGAACGCUGGCGGCGUGCCUAAUACAUGCAAGUCGAGCGAACAGACGAGGAGCUUGUUCCUCUGACGUUAGCGGCGGACGGGUGAGUAACACGUGGAUAACCUACCUAUAAGACUGGGAUAACUUCGGGAAACCGGAGCUAAUACCGGAUAAUAUAUUGAACCGCAUGGUUCAAUAGUGAAAGACGGUUUUGCUGUCACUUAUAGAUGGAUCCGCGCCGCAUUAGCUAGUUGGUAAGGUAACGGCUUACCAAGGCAACGAUGCGUAGCCGACCUGAGAGGGUGAUCGGCCACACUGGAACUGAGACACGGUCCAGACUCCUACGGGAGGCAGCAGUAGGGAAUCUUCCGCAAUGGGCGAAAGCCUGACGGAGCAACGCCGCGUGAGUGAUGAAGGUCUUCGGAUCGUAAAACUCUGUUAUUAGGGAAGAACAAAUGUGUAAGUAACUAUGCACGCCUUGACGGUACCUAAUCAGAAAGUCACGGCUAACUACGUG
rnacentral:rRNA from 1 species